rnacentral:rRNA from 1 species
UACGAAGGGGGCUAGCGUUGUUCGGAAUUACUGGGCGUAAAGCGUACGUAGGCGGAUUGUUAAGUGAGGGGUGAAAUCCCGAGGCUCAACCUCGGAACUGCCUUUCAUACUGGCAAUCUUGAGUCCGGGAGAGGUGAGUGGAACUCCUAGUGUAGAGGUGAAAUUCGUAGAUAUUAGGAAGAACACCAGUGGCGAAGGCGGCUAUCUGGACGGUUACUGACGCUAAGACGCGAAAGCGUGGGGAGCAAACAGG